rnacentral:rRNA from 1 species
UACGGAGGGUGCAAGCGUUAUCCGGAAUCACUGGGUUUAAAGGGUCCGUAGGCGGGCAUAUAAGUCAGUGGUGAAAUCCCACAGCUCAACUGUAGAACUGCCAUUGAUACUGUUAGUCUUGAAUUCGUUCGAAGUGGGCGGAAUGUGUAGUGUAGCGGUGAAAUGCAUAGAUAUUACACAGAACACCGAUAGCGAAGGCAGCUCACUAGGCCUUGAUUGACGCUCAGGGACGAAAGCGUGGGGAUCAAACAGGAUUAGAUACCCUGGUAGUCCACGCUGUAAACGAUGAUUACUCGUUUUCGGCGAUAUACAGUCGGAGACUAAGCGAAAGUGAUAAGUAAUCCACCUGGGGAGUACGAUCGCAAGGUUG